rnacentral:rRNA from 1 species
UACGUAGGGGGCGAGCGUUAUCCGGAUUUAUUGGGUUUAAAGGGUGCGUAGGCGGGCUUUUAAGUCAGCGGUAAAAAUUCGGGGCUCAACCCCGUCCGGCCGUUGAAACUGGGGGCCUUGAGUGGGCGAGAAGAAGGCGGAAUGCGUGGUGUAGCGGUGAAAUGCAUAGAUAUCACGCAGAACCCCGAUUGCGAAGGCAGCCUUCCGGCGCCCUACUGACGCUGAGGCACGAAAGUGCGGGGAUCGAACAGG